UACGUAGGGGGCAAGCGUUGUCCGGAAUCAUUGGGCGUAAAGAGCGCGUAGGCGGCCCGAUAAGUCCGCUGUGAAAGCCCAGGGCUCAACCCUGGGAUGCCGGUGGAUACUGUCGGGCUCGAGUCCGGAAGAGGAGUGUGGAAUUCCUGGUGUAGCGGUGAAAUGCGCAGAUAUCAGGAGGAACACCGAUUGCGAAGGCAGCUCGCUGGGACGUCACUGACGCUGAGACGCGAAAGCGUGGGGAGCAAACAGG
rnacentral:rRNA from 1 species